UACGAGGGGGGCAAGCGUUGUUCGGAAUUAUUGGGCGUAAAGGGUGCGUAGGCGGUCUGAUAAGUCGGAUGUGAAAUCUAUGGGCUCAACCCAUAGUCUGCAUCGGAAACUGUCGGGCUUGAGUAUGGGAGAGGUGAGUGGAAUUUCCGGUGUAGCGGUGAAAUGCGUAGAUAUCGGAAGGAACACCUGUGGCGAAAGCGGCUCACUGGACCACAACUGACGCUGAGGCGCGAAAGCUAGGGGAGCAAACAGG
rnacentral:rRNA from 1 species